GUAGGUGGCAAGCGUUGUCCGGAAUUAUUGGGCGUAAAGCGCGCGCAGGCGGUUCGUUUAAGUCUGAUGUGAAAGCCCACGGGCUCAACCGUGGAGGGUCAUUGGAAACUGGAGAACUUGAGUACAGAAGAGGAAAGCGGAAUUCCACGUGUAGCGGUGAAGUGCGUAGAGAUGUGGAGGAACACCAGUGGCGAAGGCGGCUUUCUGGUCUGUAACUGACGCUGAGGCGCGAAAGCGUGGGGAGCAAACAGGAUUAGAUACCCUGGUAGUCCACGCCGUAAACGAUGAGUGCUAAGUGUUAGGGGGUUUCCGCCCCUUAGUGCUGCAGCUAACGCAUUAAGCACUCCGCCUGGGGAGUACGGCCGCAAAGGCUG
rnacentral:rRNA from 1 species